rnacentral:lncRNA from 1 species
AGGAGCUCUCGGUGGUGACCCCACCAUCACCAGUUUGUUAAGUUGCUUUUUCCUAAUGUGAUUUUUGACAAAGAAAAAGAUUCUCAGACCUAACGACUUAAUCUGGAUCUGACAGAAACCUAACUCAAAGUGGCUUAAGCAAACAGAGAGUCUUUUGGUUCAUGUAGCUGAAAAGCCCAGGAGUAGUGCUGGCUUCAGGCUUGGCUGGGUCCAGAGCCUCAACCACCACCAUCAGAUGUUUCUAACUCUUGGCUCCACUUUCUCUGGUGCUGGCUUUGUUCUCAGACGGGCUCUCCCUAGAAAGCCUCAAAGAUGGCCACUGAUGGUUCCAGGCUUAUGUCCUACUAACUUGGUAACCCCAGGAAAAUGCAGUAUUUCUCUCCUGGUAACUCUGCCAAGAAUUCUAGAUUUUCCUCUCAUUGUGGCUGCCGCAGGACCAAUCACCGUGCUUGAGCCAUGGAAGGCUCUGAUCAGCCAAGCAGCUUGGGUCCGCUCACUGGGACCACGAGCAGGGCCUGAAAGGAAGAGCGGGCUUUGUCACCACAGAGGAGGAGUGAUGCUCAACAGGCAACAGAGGUGGCCUCCACCCUGCCCUAGUGUUCUAGAACAGUCCGUUUACCAGACGUGCGACACUCUUUUUCAGAGAUCCACCAGAAGGGGCCGCGUCCCACCUGUGGCCCUGGGUGUGUGCAGGAUGGAUGGCCCUGGGGGCCUCGAUGUCGUUAAGCCCUCAGCCCAGCUACUAACGCCCACAUCACUUCACACUGAUGGACUGGGAGCCAUCUGUGAUGACCGGAUGAGAUGCUGUAUGUGCAGUGUAUGCACAGUGCUGGCCACAGGAAGUGCUCAGAGAACAUGAACGACCUUUACAGUUAUGAUCUUGUUCUGUCACUUGGCUGUGACUGCCCUGCUUCAUUUGAUGGAGGCCCAAUAAAUAUUGUCGAAUGAAUGAAAACA